UGAGGGAGACGAGAAUUUGUGAGU
rnacentral:piRNA from 1 species